rnacentral:SRP_RNA from 15 species
CCGGGAGGGGCGCAAGUGCCCAAGGCCGGGAACAGAGCACCGACCGCUGCGCUGC